rnacentral:tRNA from 1 species
GGAGGCAUGGCUCAGUGCUUGAGCACCUGCCUAGCAAGCAUGAGGUCCUGAGUUCAAACCACAGUGCUGUAA